rnacentral:rRNA from 1 species
CCUACGGGUGGCAGCAGUGAGGAAUAUUGCGCAAUGGAGGAAACUCUGACGCAGCCAUGCCGCGUGAGUGAAGAAGGCCUUAGGGUUGUAAAACUCUUUCAGAUGUGAGGAUAAUGACAGUAGCAUCAGAAGAAGCCCCGGCUAAAUUCGUGCCAGCAGCCGCGGUAAUACGAAUGGGGCAAGCGUUGUUCGGAAUCACUGGGCGUAAAGCGUACGUAGGCGGUUUUCCAAGUCAGGAGUGAAAUCCCAGGGCUCAACCCUGGAACUGCUCUUGAAACUGGAUCACUAGAGUCCCGGAGAGGUUGGCGGAAUUCCGAGUGUAGAGGUGAAAUUCGCAGAUAUUCGGAGGAACACCAGUGGCGAAGGCGGCCAACUGGACGGGAACUGACGCUCAGGUACGAAAGCGUGGGGAGCAAACAGGAUUAGAUACCCCAGUAGUC